rnacentral:lncRNA from 13 species
AGUCGGGAACACGCGCGGCAAGUCUGUCAGUGAACAGCAUGCAGCCAAAACAGGGUUUUACCAAGUAAAACAAGAGAGAUAAGCUUUUGGCACGAGCACAUUGGCCAUCGCCGUACAAUGUCUGCAACCCAACCAUUGGACGCACAGGGGUUCCAACCAAAUGCACGUGACAACAAAAUCAAAUAACUAACAGACAAAACGAGUCAACCAUCAAGCGGAAGGAGAGCAUA